rnacentral:misc_RNA from 1 species
GAUGAAGAACGUAGCGAAAUGCGAUAAGUAAUGUGAAUUGCUGAAUUCAGUGAAUCAUCGAAUCUUUGAACGCACAUUGCGCCCCUUGGUAUUCCGAGGGGCAUGCCUGUUCGAGCGUCAUUAUAACCCCUCAAGCUCAGCUUGGUGUUGGGGCCUGCUGCACUGGCAGCCCUUAAAAUCAGUGGCGGCGCCAUCUGGCUCUAAGCGUAGUAAUUCUUCUCGCUAUGGAGUCCUGGUGGAUGCUUGCCAUCAACCCCCAAUUUUUCUAUGGUUGACCUCGGAUCAGGUAGGGAUACCCGCUGAACUUAAGCAUAUCAAUAAGCGGAGGA